rnacentral:misc_RNA from 1 species
AACGCACAUUGCGCCCGCCAGUACUCUGGCGGGCAUGCCUGCCCGAGCGUCAUUUCGACCAUCAAGCCUCUCGGGCUUGUGUUGGGGCCCUACGCGUAGCGCGUAGGCCCUGAAAACUAGUGGCGGGCUCGCUGUCGUCCGAGCGUAGUAGUUAUCAUCUCGCUCAGGGCGUUUCAGCGGGUCCCGGCCGUUAAACGCCCUUGAAUCUCCAAGGUUGACCUCGGAUUAGGUAGGAGUACCCGCUGAACUUAA